AACAGCCCUGUAAUGUAAAGCAUAUUAGGUUGCAAACCUGAAAGAGCAGGAUAACUUCUGCCGGGGCUU
rnacentral:tRNA from 1 species